GCCCCCUUAGCUCAGCUGGCCAGAGCACCGCUCUUGUAAAGCGGGGGUCGUCGGUUCGAACCCGACAGGGGGCU
rnacentral:tRNA from 1 species